ensembl:lncRNA
CAGAUGCAGGCUUCCUGUCGGGCUCUGUGGUACCUAAUAUAAGGUUCAGCCAGGACCACUUGGAGCUUCUCUUCAACUCCAUCAGAGUAUCUGCCAGUUCAAGUACAUCAUUAGGAUGUAAAGCUGAUGGCCCAGUGUGGGGUUGUUAAACCAUGCAGAGGCAAUGUGACGGCACAGGAUGACACAGAGUCCCUACCAGCUGUCAUCGACACCUCUACAAGCCUGUCAGCUGUAGAUGUGUCCUCUGCAGCAGGAGGAGAAGAUCUUCCAUCCCCGUUUGCUGACAUUCCUGCCCUAGUACAUGAUCACAGCUACCUUCCCGUCCACUUCGAUGGUCUUGUGGACAACUCUCUCAUGUACAUUUCAGGAUUUGUUGUGCGACGGUCUCUGAAGAAGCUUUCGUGUGAUGUCAGCCGUGCCAGCCUGGUGACAUGCUGCAUCUGCCAUCAAGGACCAGAGCUACCACCUGCUGAAUUUAAAAAACAAUGGAGGUCUGGUGAUUCCAUCAGAGGGAACCGUGAGUGUCGUCAGGGCAGCAGAGUGGGUCAUUCGGCAGUCAUCAGGCAGUACCAGACGAUCACAGCCCAUUAAACUGCUUGAGGUUGUUUACAUUGUCUGAAAAAGGAUCGGUUCAGAGGAUGUUUGUGUUGGGAUAGACAUCCACCACCAUAGGCUGUUAAAAAUAAUUCUGUCCCUGUUUUUUAAGUUAAGGCUGCACCACAUCGCCAGAAUUACAAUCCUCAGCUUACAGAGCAACAACAUGCAACAAAAACUUAAUAAAACUUUCCUUUUCAAAGGGCAUUAGCCCAAGGUAUGUGUGUUUCAAGGUACUGUCCUCUUUUACUUCAACAGUAGUGUAGUGCUCUCUACAGCAUUUAUUUAUUUGUAUAUAUAAAUGAUUUAUUUAUAUUUGUAAAGGGGAAUCAUGUACCUAUUUUUUGUGUGCAAAUGUCACUCUUAUAAUAGUUUAAAAAUAGAGACUUGUGUAAUUAUUCCAUAUUUUUUGUAGUCAUUCUAUAUCAGAACACCUGACAUACAAUCCAAAUAGUCUACAAGUAACAUCAGUGUUACCUUUCAUUUGAUUUGAUUUCAUUAUGCUUCUACACGAAGAGGUUGCCCCACAGUAAGCAUUUUAUUGUCAGCAUUUUGUCUGACAAAGUCCUAUGGGGAGUUUCCAUAGGGCAUUUUACAAUACGCAUGACCAUACCUUGGCAAAUAAUGGUCUAAAGUACUCAAUUUCAUUCUAUUUUGAUCUGCUUUUGCACACAGCUUCACAAGACCUGGUGCUAGGCUCAGUUGUUUCUAAAGUCAUAUCAAGUGACCUAGAGGGCUGAAAUGUGGUCAGUUCAGAGAUUCUUGUUAUCCGGCAUAAAGAAAAAACAUGUAGUAUUAAAAUUAUUUUAUAAUAGUAAUUUUAUAAUUGUACAAAAGUGUAUAUGUCUUGUUGCCAUUCUGUAGCCUAUUUAUUGAUUUAACAUACAUACCUUGUUUGUAUAUUCAUUACACCUAUCUGGUUCUGUUCAAUGAUAUUUUCAUAUGGAAGUCCAUGGUUUUAAUUGUUCAUAUGUAUGCAGUGUCAUAACUUUAUCUCUGACGUUUAUAACAAACCAAACCGUUUGAAAAUCGUUAAAAAAAAUAGCAAGUUAUGGUUAUUUAAAAGUACAUGCACCAUAAAACCCAAUGUUACAAGUGAGCGAGCGGCCUGUGGCAAGAUGGCCGCCAUGUGCGGACGUCGACCUCCAUUAGCCUUUAGCGCGGACAAGGUAUCUAGCCUUUAUAUAUGAUGUCUAUGGUUGCGACACACUAUGAUCUCGCCGCCACGCAGUCACGUGGUUUAUGUAGCUCUCCUUAGUUCCAAACAGAGCUGCGCUGUCAACCAGUUUGAAUGAGUUUAAGCGGGACAGACAGCAGCAGCUAUAUUUGCAGCAAUUAUAGGUAAAUAUUGACGCAUAAUGUACAUUGAUUAUUAUGUUUACACUAACAUUAAAUGCAUACAAUAUACUUUUUUGGGGGGGAGAGUGACAGAAACAGCAUUAAUAAGUUUUUGUGUUUAAUUUUGGAGGGAAAUGGACUCCCAUAAUGUAGAAUACAUUUACAGCAACGACUAUAUUUGCAGCAAUGAUCGGUAAAUAUUAACUUCAUUAAAUGAAAUCGGAGAUAUAAUUACUGAGUGAAUUAACUAUGUUCCUAAAUACGACCCAUAACUGUUAAUGGGAUUGAUUUCAGUAUGUACCCAUUCAUCCUUCCUUAAUCAUAGACUAAACCAUGUAUCAGAAAACACACACACACAAAGAAAUGAAUAAUACAUCCAUACAAUAUGAUGUACACAUUGUACAGACUAGUAUAGGCCUACUCUUAAGUAUAAAUAUGUACACAACUAACCCUAACCCAUAAUAUAUUAAUUGUAUAUAUAUAUAUACACACACACACAUAUACAUUUACAUACAUAAAGUCCAGAGCACCUGCUCUCAUUUUCCUGCAUAUCCAGGUCUCUUGGCCUAUUUUCUAUGUCGGAGGUACAUCUUUUUGCCCCAAAUCUUCAAUGACAGCCACUUCUGACCAGACUUCUCCAGACAAUAGAUGUGUGUACCAGGGUUCAACGGUUUUCUGCAGCUCUGACCUGAUGGCACUGCUAAACAUCUUCCAAAAACAAGGGAUGAUGCUGUUUGUGGCAUAAUGUGUCUUUCAUCUGCUGCAGCAAGUUUUUCUUUGGAUAAUCACUACGGUCCUCAACAUUGUCAGUUUAUUUGUGCUUCUUUAAAAGAGCUUGGACAGCACAUCUGAAAACGGCUGUCUGCCUUUUUUGUAGUGCUCAGUAUAACUUUUGACAGUUAAUUGUCUUAUCCAAUGUUGUUAGCCGAGUUUGGCUGUUCCUCACCCAGUUGUACUAGUGUUUUGUUAAUGUUCAUAUUGUGUUUAUAUUGACAAAUCAUAAUUUGAUUCUUUUGAAAACAUUAUUCUUGAAACUUUCAUGCCAUUAAAGCCCUUUGAAUUGAAUAAAUUAUUUUGUGUGUUUAAUUUUGUAGGGAAGGGGGACUGCUCCCAAAGGUAUAAUACAUUUACAGUAUGUACUGUAUAUAUUUUUCUCGUGCUUCUAUGGUCAUAAUUAC